AGCGAACGCUGGCGGCGUGCUUAACACAUGCAAGUCGAACGUGAAAUGUAGCAAUACAGAGUAAAGUGGCGUACGGGUGAGUAACACGUGGGUAAUCUACCAAAGAGCCUGGAGUAACCGACCGAAAGGUUGGCUAAUACUGGAUAGUUCAAAUGAAAUAUAAUGUUUCGAUUGGGAAAGGGAGCGAGCAAUCGCCUUCACCUUUUGAUGAGCCCGCGUCUGAUUAGCUAGUUGGUAGGGUAAUGGCCUACCAAGGCGACGAUCAGUAGCUGGUCUGAGAGGAUAAUCAGCCAAACUGGAACUGAAACACGGUCCAGACUCCUACGGGAGGCAGCAGUGGGGAAUCUUGCGCAAUGGACGAAAGUCUGACGUAGCCACGCCGCGUGAGUGAAGAAGGCCUUCGGGUUGUAAAGCUCUGUCGGAAGGGACAAAAACGUUUAAGGUUAAUAGCCUUAGAUCUUGAUGGUACCUUCAAAGGAAGCACCGGCUAACUUCGUGCCAGCAGCCGCCGUAA
rnacentral:rRNA from 1 species